GAUGAACGCUGGCGGCGUGCCUAAUACAUGCAAGUCGAGCGAACAGACGAGGAGCUUGCUCCUCUGACGUUAGCGGCGGACGGGUGAGUAACACGUGGAUAACCUACCUAUAAGACUGGGAUAACUUCGGGAAACCGGAGCUAAUACCGGAUAAUAUUUUGAACCGCAUGGUUCAACAGUGAAAGACGGUCUUGCUGUCACUUAUAGAUGGAUCCGCGCCGCAUUAGCUAGUUGGUAAGGUAACGGCUUACCAAGGCAACGAUGCGUAGCCGACCUGAGGGGGUGAUCGGCCACACUGGAACUGAGACACGGUCCAGACUCCUACGGGAGGCGGCAGUAGGGAAUCUUCCGCAAUGGGCGAAAUCCUGACGGAGCAACGCCGCGUGAGUGAAGAAGGUCUUCGGAUCGUAAAACUCUGUUAUUAGGGAAGAACAAAUGUGUAAGUAACUAUGCACGUCUUGACGGUACCUAAUCAGAAAGCCACGGCUAACUACGUG
rnacentral:rRNA from 1 species